GUACUGUAAAGAGAUGGCGAGCGAGUGAGAGGAUGAAAAGAGAAGUCACUUGGGGGUUAAACAACAAGAUGUGCAUGCGAGGAGCUGGCGGGACCUGGCCUGGUGAAUGACAUGGGCGCCAGCAAAUGAGAGUGUAGAGUUAUGAGCCCUCAAGAGGACUCACUUGUUUCUGUUUGGAAGUCUCGAAAGCCGUCGAAUAUGGAUCGGGCCGGUCUCCUUCUCUUUGGCACUGAAGGUUC